rnacentral:rRNA from 1 species
GGGUCAGUAGGUUGGUCGUGCCACCGGUACGUACUGGUCUCACUGAUUCCUCCUUCCUGAGGAACCGUAAUGCCAUUAAUUUGGUGUUGCGGGGAAACAGGACUGUUACUUUGAAAAAAUUAGAGUGUUUAAAGCAAGCUAACGCUUGAAUACAUUAGCAUGGAAUAAUGAAAUAGGACGAUCGAUCCUAUUUUGUCGGUUUCUAGGAUUGACGUA